UACAUGGGGUGCAAACGUUGCUCGGAAUUAUUGGGCGUAAAGCGCGCGUAGGCGGUUACUUAAGUCGGAUGUGAAAGCCCUCGGCUUAACUGAGGAAGUGCACCCGAAACUGAGUAGCUAGAGUACGAAAGAGGGUCGCGGAAUUCCCGGUGUAGAGGUGAAAUGCGCAGAUAUCAGGAAGAACACCUAUGGCGAAGGCAGCUCUCUGGGACGGUACUGACGCUGAGACGCGAAAGCGUGGGGAGCGAACAGG
rnacentral:rRNA from 1 species